GCGGCCAUGAGGAGGCGGCUGGUGGCGGGGCUGGUGGCGUUGGAGGUGGCUGGGCUGGGCGGCGCGCUGCUGCUCUACCGCGCCAUGGACCGCAGCAGAGACUUCAGAUACACAAUGCAGAAGAGGUUUCCAUCAAUUCUGGAAGUUUAUUACAAAUCCAAUGAGUGGUCUGGAAUUCACGGCAUAAGGGAGAAUGACCAAAUGGCAUGGUUAAGCAGCAAGAAUUAAACCCUGUGUGCCUGAACUGUUUUUUCCUUUUGAUGAUGCUUUUCACAUCCCUGUUGUGAAGCCACCUGUCACGCUCUACUUCCCACUUGAUUUGCUUGAUAUCUGGAAAGAGGAAAGAUGGAAGAUAAGAAGUCAGCAGCUGAUGGACAUCAUGUGGAAUACAGAUAAAUCAUGUAGAAGUUAAGACUUGACUAAUUUAUUUAUAAACAUUAAUAAAAUGCAAACUGCUGAUUUUUUUGA